CCCGUUUCAGGAUUGCCCCGCCCACAUUUCUCCCUGUAUCUGUUCUCUCAGCUGCAGUAUGGAGUGGUGCUUGUCUACCACAGACAGUGUGAAUUUUUGUUAGAGGACACUCAGGGGGCAAUAGAUAGAUUGCUCCGCCUUAACUUGAAGUCCAACAUUGAUAUGGGGGAUGAAGAAACCAGGCAGAGUCACAUGAUCCCAGAUGCUGCUGCACUAUUUGAUGAAACAGAGGGAGCGAGGGAUCCAUUCUUUGGAGUUAUGGAGACUGGUUAUGGCCUGCCAAGUCCAAGCAGCCUCAUCCAGCGAAUGGAAGAGGUCUUACCUGAGCAAGUCCCGCCCACUAGAGAACCAACACCACCUUCAGAUGGCAUCACGGCCAGCCAGGAGUCCAUCACCCUGACAGAAAGAGAGCCAGUCGUCAUGCCUGAGCCAGAGUUUGAAGGAGCAGAUCUGCAGGAGUCUGACAUGAUCGAGCUACUGCUGGAGCAGCCGGAUCACUUUCUUGAGCGUGAGUGA
ensembl:lncRNA